AUUUUUUAAAAUGUAAAUGGAGUAAAUGAUAAAAUGUAGACUGAAUUUAUCAUAAAGACAUUUUCUUUUGGUAUACUGCAAGGAACUAUGAACUUUUAGUAACUACUAUAAGCAACUGACAGGAAAAAAUGGCAACAGAAGAAGGAAAGAGGAGAGAAUGGGGAGCAGACACUAAGGUGUAGUGAAAGGAGGAAAAUGAAGGCUAAGUCUAAUGAUGUGAAUCCUAUUUGCAAUUCCAUCAAAGGAGGGAUCUUCCUACUGACCAGAAGACCUGAACAGCCUGAGAAUGAUUCCUUUCAACUCCGAGAGAAGAAGCUGCAGAUGAAGAGCAAUCCUGGGAUACAUGUGCAGAAUGUGCAGAAUGUGUACAUAGGUACACACGUACCAUGGUGGUUUGCUGUAUCCAUCAACUUGUCAUCUACAUUAGGAUACUGUUUACUGAAAACCCACCAAUCUGAUCUUUUAUGAGAAGCUAGUCCCUGAAAAGGCCCUUGGAUCAAAAGUCAAAAACUUGAAGCACAGAGUGGGAUGUCAGAUGCCAAGAUUUAAAUCUAGUCAUUUGAUUCCAGAGCCCACAUUCUUAAAUAAUAUGCUACACUGACCUUUAUUGUCUUUAAACAUUAUCUUUAUUUAAUGUGUUUCAUAGAAAUUACUUCUCAGGUAUUCCUAAAUUUAUUUUUAAAAAUAAUGUCAUGCUAUCACUAUAAUAUAGUUUUUUAAAUUAACUUGAGAGGUAAUGUAGUAUGAUCAACUUCCUUAAUAGCCUUUUAAACUAGAAAUAACUAUUAAAUAUUUUAAUAUUAUAAAUUAACAGGCAAAAUGGUGAAAAAUCUAACAUCUGGUUCUUAAAAGUAAGUUGAAAUAUAAGAUCAGAUUUGAAUGCACAUGGAAAAAUAGAACUGGCAAAUAAUGCCAUAUUUGAAGAUCUUUUAGUAUUCUCUGGUAUUUUUCCUUUCAUUUCAAAAUUGUUAUAUUCUUUUUAAUGACUUCAAAUGAAUUAGGAAAUGUCAGGCUUCUAAAAAUCAAACAGAACGUCCAACCAGUAGAUUUCAUUCAGGGCAGUGGGAGCCUGUUCAGUUGUUUCCUCUUUCUCCCUCACUUUUAAAAAUCCUCAAUCACUGCCAUUUCUCUUCUCAGCUUUCACAACACUUUACAGGCAGCUGAAUGAAAGGGCAGAAGCUUCCUCUGAAACUCCUGUUAUUUCAGCUCUAAAAUCAGCUGAAAAGGAUGCCCUCCCCAGAGACAGAAAUGCAUUCCCUCCAUCAUGAACCUGCAAUGCCCUCAGGUUGUGGCAAGGGAGAAGUUUAGCACUUGAACCUAGAUAACGCUAUUUUUUUAAUCAAAGUGCACCAUUCUUGUUUCAUAUGGCCUGUGGCGCAAUUUAUUUAAAACAAUAUGGUGCAUCAAAGAAGGUAAACAAUAAUAACAAUAAUAAUAAUAAUAUAGGAAUAGCAAUGUGCACAUAAAUAAUAUAGGAAAACACAUGGCCUCAGUACCUUCAUGAAAUGGGACUUCAAUAUACAUAUUUCUUAUACAGCUUUAUGCAUGACUUCAUUGCACUUCACUGCUCUGUUGUAUCACUCUACCAAUAAACCUAUACAUCAUACUGAGUGAAAUAUGUUCACAGGCCCUUUACUUGACAAAAAAAAAAAAAAA
rnacentral:lncRNA from 1 species